UACCCGCAGCCCAAGUGGUGGUCGAUUUUAUUGAGUCUAAAACGUUCGUAGCCGGUUCGGUAAAUCCUUGGGUAAAUCGGAAGGCUUAACUUUCCGACUUCCGAGGAGACUGCCGAACUUGGGACCGGGAGAGGCUAGAGGUACUUCUGGGGUAGGGGUAAAAUCCUGUAAUCCUAGAAGGACCACCGGUGGCGAAGGCGUCUAGCUAGAACGGAUCCGACGGUGAGGGACGAAGCCCUGGGUCG
rnacentral:rRNA from 1 species